AAAGUAUCAUAACUGUAUCAGCAACACCUGUGCUAUUAACUCCAUGUUUCCUUGAAAAUAGCAUUAGCCACACGUGGCGCUUAAUAUUUUUCAGUUUGCACACUUCAGUUUCUUCCUUUGGGAUUUCGGUGAGUUUAAAUUUGAAAUUUAACUGAAUUGUAGCCGCAAUACGUGUGUUAUUAACUCCGCGUUUCCUUGAAAAUAGCAUUAGCCACACGUGGUAUGUAUAGCUAUUGAGUUUCUCUCAUAUAAAAUUGAAUGUUGCUAUUUGAAAGCGUGAAUGGCACUGUUAUAGUAGUUCUAUCAUACGUGUAUGAAUGUGCCAUGCAAUAGCCUUGUGUUGAUUUUAAGUAGGUUAUAGCUCAUUCAAGGUAGCUAUUAGUUGAGCCUAUGCACUUUAAUGAAGUUAGCUAAUGCAGUACUGUUAGAAACCAUGCACUAGCACUUAGCAAGUGCGCUACAUUGGGGUAGCCUAUAUGAUGUAGCCAUAUCUUCUAUUGUGCAUGACAAUGCAAGAGUGUUAGUUCACAUGCAUUUAAAUGAUUUUACAAUCAACUAAUGAUUUACCUGAUUGUUAAAGGUUUAUUACUGAACAGAAGACAUUCUGAACUUAAUGGACAGUGAAUACAGUUACAACACUCAGGACAUUGAUAUGAAAACAAAUGAAUGUGUUUGAAUAUGAUAAGUAAAUGGCGGCUUUACCUGUUGUCAUUACAUUUUCUUUAAUACAGUUCUAACCAUUUUGCACUUA